rnacentral:rRNA from 1 species
GAUGAACGCUGGCGGCGUGCCUAAUACAUGCAAGUCGAGCGAACAGAUAAGGAGCUUGCUCCUUUGACGUUAGCGGCGGACGGGUGAGUAACACGUGGAUAACCUACCUAUAAGACUGUGAUAACUUCGGGAAACCGGAGCUAAUACCGGAUAACUUAUUGAACCGCAUGGUUCAAUAGUGAAAGGCGGCUUUGCUGUCACUUAUAGAUGGAUCCGCGCCGUAUUAGCUAGUUGGUAAGGUAACGGCUUACCAAGGCAACGAUACGUAGCCGACCUGGGAGGUUGCUCGGCCUCACUGGGACUGAGGCACGGUCCAGACUCCUACGGGAGGCAGCAGUAGGGAAGCUUCCGCAAUGGGCGAAAGCCGGACGGAGCAACGGCGCGUGAGUGAUGAAGGUCUUCGGAUCGUAAAACUCUGUUAUCAGGGAAGAACAAAUGUGUAAGUAACUGUGCACAUCUUGACGGUACCUGAUCAGAAAGCCACGGCUAACUACGUGCCAGCAGCCGCAGUAA